rnacentral:rRNA from 1 species
GACGAACGCUGGCGGCGUGCUUAACACAUGCAAGUCGAACGGACAGGCCCUGCUUUUGUGGGGUGCUCGAGUGGCGAACGGGUGAGUAACACGUGAGUAACCUGCCCUUGACUUUGGGAUAACUUCAGGAAACUGGGGCUAAUACCGGAUAGGAUCUCCUGCUGCAUGGUGGGGGUUGGAAAGUUUCGGCGGUUGGGGAUGGACUCGCGGCUUAUCAGCUUGUUGGUGGGGUAGUGGCUUACCAAGGCUUUGACGGGUAGCCGGCCUGAGAGGGUUACCGGCCACAUUGGGACUGAGAUAGGCACCAGACGCCUACGGGAGGCAGCAGUGGGGAAUAUUGCGGAAUGGGCGGAAGCCUGAUGCAGCAACGCCGCGUGCGGGAUGACGGCCUACGGGUUGAAAACCGCUGUCGCCUGUGACGAAGCGUGAGUGACGGUAAUGGGUAAAAAAGCACCGGCUAACUACGUG